rnacentral:rRNA from 1 species
ACGCUCGACACCUACGGGAGGCAGCAGUGGGGAAUAUUGCACAAUGGGGGAAACCCUGAUGCAGCGACGCCGCGUGGAGGAAGAAGGUCUUCGGAUUGUAAACUCCUGUUGUUGGGGAAAAAGAGGAUGGUACCCAACAAGGAAGUGACGGCUAACUACGUGCCAGCAGCCGGGUAAUCUGAGCGGGCUGGCAAGGC